UACGUAGGGUGCAAGCGUUGUCCGGAAUUAUUGGGCGUAAAGAGCUCGUAGGCGGUUUGUCGCGUCUGGUGUGAAAACUCAAGGCUCAACCUUGAGCUUGCAUCGGGUACGGGCAGACUAGAGUGUGGUAGGGGUGACUGGAAUUCCUGGUGUAGCGGUGGAAUGCGCAGAUAUCAGGAGGAACACCGAUGGCGAAGGCAGGUCACUGGGCCACUACUGACGCUGAGGAGCGAAAGCAUGGGGAGCGAACAGG
rnacentral:rRNA from 1 species